CUCGCCUUCUCAUCCUGUAUUUUUCCACUGUCCUUUUGAAUUGCGUCCAAUUUGUUUCCAGCUUAACUUUAUUUUUUUUUCUUGCUUUGCUUCUUUCCCUUCUAAAAAUAUAAGGUAUAUAGCCUGAAAAUAUAGGGUUAUAUUUUAUGUAAGGGAGGAACAACACUUUGCAUGUCACAAUUACCUUUCGACAGAUACAGAUAACUGCCUGUCUGCUCCGAGGUGGCAUGAAAUUGCUGUGAACCACGUGGAAUAUUCCAUCAGAACGGUGCCAAUUUCCUCCUGCAGCCUCUCAGAAUAGCUGCCUCAUAAUACCGGACUCUGGUCCCGCUGGAAAUCGCUGCUGUCGUUUAGUGCUGGCUGUCAGCUUGUGCUGAAUACAUCAUCGUCAGGGCACCGACUGCUUCUGACAUGAUGCAGAUCUUCAUAAUGGCUGAGGUCUUAAUCUGCUGGCUCCUGCACGUGGAGAAGCCCAGGGCUGGGAACAACAAAACCUGGCCUGGAAAAGACUCGAUCAUCCUAAAGAAGAACUAGUUCUCAGCUAAAAUCUAAAGAGAUGGAGUAGAUGUGACGUGUAACAUCCAUGGGGACGCCCUGUUGAAGGCAGCUGGUAGCUCUCCUGCAGGACCACGGGAGCUUGGAGCAGAAGCUGGAUGCCUCCACAGCCUACAGGGGUUUGCUGUUUCUCUGGGUGUGAAGAGCAGGUUUGAUCUGGGAUGGUGCAAAUUAUCCGAAACACCAAAGCUUUGGCUUCCUAUCCCCUUCAAAUACUUUAUUUACUGAGAUUAUACAUAUAGUUUAUUGUGUACUGUAGUGAUUCUACCAAUACACAAAGCUGAACAUCUGAACGGGCUCCAGGGUAUCAUCUCUUAGGUUUAGGUUUCUUUAGGGGGGAGGUUGUCUUCUGCUGUCUCAGAUGGUGCCUCUUGUGUUUUUGGCCCAGCCUGGAUAGAGGCUAGCACAGGAGUGCGGGUGGCAAGUUUCUCUCCGUAGUGGGACCGGAUUUCAGUCAAGUUUUCAACUCUCAGAUACCCAGGUUUGACUUCUUAAUUUGUUCUCAUCACUUAUUCAGCUACAGACUUUAUCUGGAAAAUCCAGCACGUGCCAGGUUCUGUCAGAACCACCUACGCAGAAAUUGCUUGCUUUUCCUAAUAUAGUAUGAACGAGCUUUAAACAUCUGAACAUUUACUUAAAAGCUAAUACUUUGGCUGUUUUAAAACAAAGAGUCCUGCUCUAAUUUUAGCAGUGGAGCGGCUGUCCAGGAGCCCUCAGUAGGCACUGUCACUUCCUUGCAAUCUCUAGGUCACGCUGCCCAACGUGUACUGAGCUGGGCAUCUAGGAGCAUCCAAGUCCCCACAAAUGCUCCGUCUCAUAAAGCAGUUGUUUUUCACUAACUACUCUUUUCCAAAGUAGCACCGAUGAGAAAACUGGGAGAAGUGUUUCUUUAGCGUUGUUUGUAAUUAAAAAUAGCAACGCGGAUGGCCCAGCUCUUGCAAAGUGCAAGCCCACUUCUUUCAUUCAG